UACAGGGGGUGCAAACGUUGCUCGGAAUCACUGGGCGUAAAGGGCGUGUAGGCGGUCAAGUAAGUGGAAUGUGAAACGCCUCGGCUUACCCGAGGACCUGCAUCCCAAACUGCUUGGCUUGAGUAUGGGAGAGGAUGAGGGAAUUCCUGGUGUAGCGGUGAAAUGCGUAGAUAUCAGGAGGAACACCGAUUGCGAAGGCAGCUCGCUGGGACGUUACUGACGCUGAGACGCGAAAGCGUGGGGAGCAAACAGG
rnacentral:rRNA from 1 species